CACGUAGGGCGCAAGCGUUGUCCGGAAUUAUUGGGCGUAAAGAGCUCGUAGGCGGUCUGUUACGUCGGCUGUGAAAACCUGGGGCUCAACCCCGGGCCUGCAACCGAUACGGGCAGACUAGAAUUCGGUAGGGGAGACUGGAAUUCCUGGUGUAGCGGUGGAAUGCGUAGAUAUCGUAAGGAAGACCAGUGGCGAAGGCGGGUCUCUGGACAGUCCUGACGCUGAGGCACGAAGGUCAGGGGAGCAAACGGG
rnacentral:rRNA from 1 species